ACUCAAAGGAAUUGACGGGGGCCCGCACAAGCGGAGGAACAUGUGGUUUAAUUCGAUGAUACGCGAGGAACCUUACCCGGGCUCGAACGGUAGUGGAAUAUAUCAGAGAUGAUAUAGCCGGCAACGGCUGCUAUCGAGGUGCUGCAUGGUUGUCGUCAGCUCGUGCCGUGAGGUGUCGGCUUAAGUGCCAUAACGAGCGCAACCCUUGUCGUUAGUUGCCAUCGGGUUAUGCUGGGAACUCUAACGAGACUGCCACCGUAAGGUGUGAGGAAGGGGGGGAUGACGUCAAAUCAGCACGGCCCUUACGUCCGGGGCGACACACGUGUUACAAUGGAAGGUACAGAGGGCAGCUACACAGCGAUGUGAUGCUAAUCUCCAAAACCUUUCUCAGUUCGGAUUGGAGUCUGCAACUCGACUCCAUGAAGUUGGAUUCGCUAGUAAUCGCACAUCAGCCAUGGUGCGGUGAAUACGUUCCCGGGCCUUGUACACACCGCCCGU
rnacentral:rRNA from 1 species